AGAGUUUGAUCAUGGCUCAGGACGAACGCUGGCGGCGUGCUUUACACAUGCAAGUCGAGCGAUGAGAUCCCUUCGGGGAUGGAUUAGCGGCGAACGGGUGAGGAACACGUGAAGAAUCUACCUUCAACACUGGGAUAACUCCGGGAAACCGGGGCUAAUACCGGAUACGAGAUCGGCAGGCAUCUGCGGAUCUGGAAAGUUUUUCGGUUGAAGAUGACUUCGCGGCCUAUCAGCUUGUUGGUGAGGUAAUGGCUCACCAAGGCGACGACGGGUAGCCGGCCUGAGAGGGCGACCGGCCACACUGGGACUGAGACACGGCCCAGACUCCUACGGGAGGCAGCAGUGGGGAAUAUUGGGCAAUGGAGGGAACUCUGACCCAGCGACGCCGCGUGCGGGAUGAAGGCCUUCGGGUUGUAAACCGCUUUCAGCAGGGAAGAAGCGAAAGUGACGGUACCUGCAGAAGAAGCACCGGCUAACUAUGUGCCAGCAGCCGCGGUAAUACAUAGGGUGCAAGCGUUGUCCGGAAUUAUUGGGCGUAAAGAGCUCGUAGGUGGUUCGUCACGUCGGAUGUGAAAAUCUGGGGCUUAACCCCAGACCUGCAUUCGAUACGGGCGAGCUAGAGUGUGGUAGGGGAGACUGGAAUUCCUGGUGUAGCGGUGGAAUGCGCAGAUAUCAGGAGGAACACCAAUGGCGAAGGCAGGUCUCUGGGCCAUUACUGACACUGAGGAGCGAAAGCGUGGGGAGCGAACAGGAUUAGAUACCCUGUAGUCCACGCCGUAAACGGUGGGCACUAGUUGUGGGAACCUUCCACGGUUUCUGCGACGCACUAACGCAUUAAGUGCCCCGCCUGGGGAGUACGAUCGCAGAUUAAAACUCAAGGGAAUUGACGGGGCCCCGCACAAGCAGCGGGAGCAUGCGGCUUAAUUCGACGCAACGCGUAAAGCUUACCAGGGCUGUG
rnacentral:rRNA from 1 species